UCGGAUCGUUUUAGAAACAUCAGUGGCCAACAGAUCGCCAGAUCGUUGAGCUGCAUUGGCGGGAUUUCGCCGUCUUCGUUUCUCUUUCUUCGCGGACGAACACGCGCUGGGCCUGCAACGGCAGGAUCCAGGGUCCUUAACGGGAUGUGCGUUAGGGGCUUGUAGCUCAGUUGGUUAGAGCGCGCGCUUGAUAAGCGUGAGGUCGGAAGUUCAAGUCUUCCCAGGCCCACCACUUUCAUCGAGUGAGCAUUCGUCUUCUGGUUACGGGGCCAUAGCUCAGCUGGGAGAGCGCGUGCUUUGCAAGCAUGAGGUCGUCGGUUCGAUCCCGUCUGGCUCCACCAGAUGGUUUGAUCACCGAGAUCUUGACCGUCGUCCGCGAAACAUCACUUCGCAUCCUGCUAGUCUGGAUAGACAGCAGUUUGCGUGUUUUCUGACAUCGUAAAGAGGAGAUCGAUCCGAGUUGGGUCGUGCAGCAUAUCGUUGCGCGAGCCUUCAUUAUCUCCGGAUCAUUUCGGCGCUCGCUUCCAGCCGUGAGGUUGGAUGCGGGUUGUAAAUGAUCCUUUUAGCGAAGCUUGACCGCCUCGCUAUCGGAACGAUCUUACGAAGCAAGCUGGUCUUUCUAGUCAAUGUCCGGCUGCGGAUAGCGUUCAUCGAGGGCGCGUGCCGCAAGGCAAUUCUGCAGACAACAUUCUGCCGAGUGUGUGGACAUUGAUAAUGAGAGCAAUCAAGUGCCUUAAGGGUGUUCGGUGGAUGCCUUGGCGCUGAGAGGCGAUGAAGGACGUGCUACGCUGCGAUAAGCCGUGGGGAGCUGCGAAGAAGCUUUGAUCCGCGGAUUUCCGAUGGG
rnacentral:misc_RNA from 1 species